CCUCGUCUGUCUGUUGGGCU
rnacentral:miRNA from 1 species